rnacentral:rRNA from 1 species
CUACGGGCUGCUGCAGCAGGGAAUAUUGCACAAUGGACGGAAGUCUGAUGCAGCGACGCCGCGUGGAUGAUGAAGGCCCUCGGGUUGUAAAAUCCUUUUCAGGGGGACGAGGAAGGACGGUACCCUUGGAAUAAGCGUCGGCUAACUACGUGCCAGCAGCCGCGGUAAGACGUAGGACGCAAGCGUUAUCCGGAUUUACUGGGCGUAAAGCGUCUGUAGGCGGAAUGGUAAGUUGGACGUGAAAGCUCCGGGCUCAACUCGGCGAGGUCGUUCAAUACUGCCAAACUAGAGGGCAUCAGAGGAGCGUGGAAUUUCCGGUGUAGCGGUAAAAUGCGCAGAUAUCGGAAGGAACACCAAUGGCGAAGGCAGCGCUCUGGGAUGAACCUGACGCUAAGAGACGAAAGCUAGGGGAGCGAACAGGAUUAGAUACCCGCGUAGUC